ACUGCCCAGUCCUGUCCACUGGGGGAUUUCCCUCACUGCAUGAACACGAGAAUGAAAUCUCUGUGGCUUUUCCUUUCCCUGUUCUCUGCCCCCUCCUGUGUCCUGUCCCAGGUGCAGCUGGUCCAGUCCGGCCCAGGGGCAGUGAAGCCGGGAGCGACCCUCAGCAUCACCUGUAAAGUCUCUGGAGUCUCUGUCAGUGAUCUCUAUUGGAGCUGGAACCGGCAGCCCCCAGGGAAAGGGCUGGAGUGGCUGGGGUUUAUCCGCAGCACUGCACAAGGAGGGACCACAGAGUAUAACUCGGCUCUCAAGCCUCGGGUCACCAUCACCAGGGACACCUCUAAAAACGAAGUUUAUCUCCAGCUCCGCUCGCUGACAGCUGCAGACACCGGCACCUAUUUCUGCGCCCGAGAGACACAGUGA